rnacentral:rRNA from 1 species
GCUCAGAUGAAACGCUGGCGGAAUGCUUUACACAUGCAAGUCGAGCGGCAGCGCGGGGCAACCUGGCGGCGAGCGGCGAACGGGUGCGUAACACAUCGGAACAUGUCCAUUCGUGGGGGAUAGCCCGGCGAAAGCCGGAUUAAUACCGCAUGAGCCCGAGAGGGGAAAGUGGGGGACCGCAAGGCCUCACGCGGAUGGGUUGGCCGAUGUCCGAUUAGCUAGUUGGCGGGGUAAGAGCCCACCAAGGCGAUGAUCGGUAGCUGGUCUGAGAGGAUGAUCAGCCACACUGGGACUGAGACACGGCCCAGACUCCUACGGGAGGCAGCAGUGGGGAAUUUUGGACAAUGGGGGCAACCCUGAUCCAGCCAUUCCGCGUGAGUGAAGAAGGCCUUCGGGUUGUAAAGCUCUUUUGUCCGGAGCGAAAAGGUUACGGUGAAUAUCCGUGACUACUGACGGUACCGGAAGAAUAAGCACCGGCUAACUACGUGCCAGCAGCCGCGGUAAUACGUAGGGUGCGAGCGUUAAUCGGAAUUACUGGGCGUAAAGCGUGCGCAGGCGGUUUUGUAAGCCAGAUGUGAAAGCCCCGGGCUUAACCUGGGAAUGGCAUUUGGGACUGCAAGGCUGGAGUGUGGCAGAGGAGACUGGAAUUCCUGGUGUAGCAGUGAAAUGCGUAGAUAUCAGGAGGAAUACCGAUGGCGAAGGCAGGUCUCUGGGCUGACACUGACGCUCAUGCACGAAAGCGUGGGGAGCAAACAGGAUUAGAUACCCUGGUAGUCCACGCCCUAAACGAUGUCGACUGGUUGUUGGGGGUUUGACACUCUCAGUAACGAAGCUAACGCGUGAAGUCGACCGCCUGGGGAGUACGGCCGCAAGGUUAAA